GAAACCUUGUGAUGAUCUAGACGCUUGCUGUAAGAUUCACGACGAAUGUGUAGAGAAAAAUGGUAUGACCAAUGUUAUAUGUCAUGAGAAGUUCAAGAGAUGCAUAAAGAAAGUGCAGAAGUCCGGGAAGGCCGGGUUUACUAGAGAUUGCCCCUAUGAUGUAGCUGUUCCAACGAUGGUACAGGGUAUGGACAUGGCUAUUUUGUUUAGCCAACUUGGAAACUCGAAGCUUGAACUUUGAUCAUUUCACUCUGAUAGUGAGAAACCGUAUACUUGAAAUGCUUGCAUUAACCAUUCCUUGCUGAUUCAAUUGUACAACAGGAAUUUUAUUCAUCUCUUUUUAGGAGCUUUUCCUUUUUUAGAUGUCCAUUUUGU
rnacentral:misc_RNA from 1 species